GCAUAUCAAUAAGCGGAGGAAAAGAAACCAACCGGGAUUGCCCUAGUAACGGCGAGUGAAGCGGCAACAGCUCAAAUUUGAAAUCGGCCCACCGGUCGAGUUGUAAUUUGCAGAGGAUGCUUCUGGGCAGCGGCCGGUCUAAGUUCCUUGGAACAGGACGUCGCAGAGGGUGAGAAUCCCGUAUGUGACUGGCGCGCACCCUCCACGUAGCUCCUUCGACGAGUCGAGUUGUUUGGGAAUGCAGCUCUAAAUGGGAGGUAAAUGUCUUCUAAAGCUAAAUACCGGCCAGAGACCGAUAGCGCACAAGUAGAGUGAUCGAAAGAUGAAAAGCACUUUGGAAAGAGAGUUAAACAGCACGUGAAAUUGUUGAAAGGGAAGCGCUUGCAACCAGACUUGUCGGCGGUGUUCCGCCGGUCUUCUGACCGGUCUACUCGCCGCCGGCAGGCCAACAUCGUCUGGGGCUGCUGGAUAAGACGUCGGGAAUGUGGCUCCUCGGAGUGUUAUAGCCCCUCGUGAUGCAGCGCGCCCCGGGCGAGGUCCGCGCUUCGGCAAGGAUGUUGGCGUAAUGGUCGCUAGCGGCCCGUCUUGAAACACGGACCAAGGAGUCGAACAUCUAUGCGAGUGUUUGGGCGUCAAACCCCAGCGCGUAAUGAAAGUGAACGGAGGUGGGAGCUUCGGCGCACCAUCGACCGAUCCUGAUGUCCUCGGAUGGAUUUGAGUAAGAGCAUAGCUGUUCGGACCCGAAAGAUGGUGAACUAUGCCUGAAUAGGGUGAAGCCAGAGGAAACUCUGGUGGAGGCUCGCAGCGGUUCUGACGUGCAAAUCGAUCGUCAAAUUUGGGUAUAGGGGCGAAAGACUAAUCGAACCAUCUAGUAGCUGGUUCCUGCCGAAGUU
rnacentral:rRNA from 1 species